rnacentral:lncRNA from 1 species
ACUCCGAAGGGGAAGUUGAAGAAGAAGAAGAAUCUGCUCAAAUGGCUUUCAUGGCUAUUGAAAAUAAUGAGGUAACUUCCACACACUCUCAAUCUGAAAGUGAUAAUGAUGAAGAUGAUGAUCUUGAAUCCUUUGUUGAAAAACUGCAUAAUGCCUUGAAGGAAUCUUAUGAUAAAAACAAGCAGUUAAAACAGAAAAUGGCUUUUCUCAUUCAAGAAAAUGCAAGUCUUUUUCAACAAAAUAAACAACUAAAGACCGACAAU